rnacentral:rRNA from 1 species
GUAGGGAAUAUUGCGCAAUGGGGGAAACCCUGACGCAGCGACGCCGCGUGAGUGAUGAAGGACUUCGGUUCGUAAAGCUCUGUCGCAGGGGAAUAAAUUUGAAUGUACCCUGUAAGAAAGGAUCGGCUAACUUCGUGCCAGCAGCCGCGGUAAGACGAGGGAUCCUAGCGUUGUUCGGAAUCAUUGGGCGUAAAGCGGGUGUAGGUUGCUCUAUAAGUCAGAUGUGAAAGCCCUGGGCUUAACCCAGGAAGUGCAUUUGAUACUGCAGAGCUUGAGUGUGGGAGAGGCUAGUGGAAUUCCUGGUGUAGUGGUGAAAUACGUAGAUAUCAGGAGGAACAUCGGUGGCGAAGGCGGCUAGCUGGCCCAACACUGACACUGAGACCCGAAAGCGUGGGGAUCAAACAGGAUUAGAAACCCCAGUAGUCC